rnacentral:rRNA from 1 species
CGCGGCCUAUCAGCUUGUUGGCGGGGUAACGGCCCACCAAGGCAUCGACGGGUAGCUGGUCUGAGAGGACGAUCAGCCACACUGGGACUGAGACACGGCCCAGACUCCUACGGGAGGCAGCAGUGGGGAAUCUUGCGCAAUGGGCGAAAGCCUGACGCAGCAACGCCGCGUGGGGGAUGAAGGCCUUCGGGUUGUAAACCCCUUUCAACAGGGACGAAAAUGACGGUACCUGCAGAAGAAGCCCGGCCAACUACGUGCCAGCAGCCGCGGUAACACGUAGGGGGCGAGCGUUGUCCGGAUUUAUUGGGCGUAAAGAGCUCGUAGGCAGUUGCGUAAGUCGGAUGUGAAAACUCAGGGCUCAACCCGGAGACGCCAUCCGAUACUGCGCUGACUAGAGUCCGGUAGGGGAGCAUGGAAUUCCUGGUGUAGCGGUGAAAUGCGCAGAUAUCAGGAGGAACACCAGUAGCGAAGGCGGUGCUCUGGGCCGGAACUGACGCUGAGGAGCGAAAGCGUGGGUAGCGAACAGGAUUAGAUACCCUGGUAGUCCACGCCGUAAACGUUGGGCACUAGGUGUGGGGCCUACUUAACGGGUUCCGUGCCGUAGCUAACGCAUUAAGUGCCCCGCCUGGGGAGUACGG